rnacentral:ncRNA from 1 species
AUAGUUGGGGAGCUGGCACAGCCGGCUGAGAGUAAACACAAGGUUUAGACCCAUAACCUGAUUUGGAUAAUGCCAACGUAGGGAUGCGUAC